UACGAAGGGAGCUAGCGUUGUUCGGAAUCACUGGGCGUAAAGCGCACGUAGGCGGAUUUGCCAGUCAGGGGUGAAAUCCCGGGGCUCAACCUCGGAACUGCCUUUGAUACAGCAAGUCUUGAGUUCGAGAGAGGUGGGUGGAAUUCCUAGUGUAGAGGUGAAAUUCGUAGAUAUUAGGAAGAACACCAGUGGCGAAGGCGGCUCACUGGAUCGGUACUGACGCUGAGGUGCGAAAGCGUGGGGAGCAAACAGG
rnacentral:rRNA from 1 species